rnacentral:rRNA from 1 species
CGUUGAGGUGGUUCCGUAAGUUGGGCGUUAAAGCCCCGGGCUCAACCCGGGAGGCCGUUCAAUACUGCGGGACUUGAGGGCAGCAGAGGGAGGUGGAAUUCCCGGUGUAGUGGUGAAAUGCGUAGAUAUCGGGAGGAACACCAGUGGCGAAGGCGGCCUCCUGGGCUGUCCCUGACACUGAAGGCGAAAGCUAGGGGAGCGAACG